rfam:Gossypium raimondii chromosome 7, whole genome shotgun sequence.
AAUCCGUGGUGUGGGCAUUUUUGAAUCAACAUUUUGAACCGUUCUCAUGCCUCAUAGAAACUUUCUCCCUCCAUCUAUCUAAAAAUAACAAUAUCUCCUCUUAGUUA